rnacentral:misc_RNA from 1 species
GUUUUGGUUUCGACCGUAGUGUCGUCCCUCCGAAUAAUGCUCCGAUUCCAAGGCCCUAUAUAGAGCUCCGAUGGUAUAUAGGGCCUUGGCUCCGAUUCUUAAGUUGGCGGCGCCCUGCUCUGGGCUGAAGUUUGGACAAGUCGAUUUUGAUGUGUAAAACCGGUCGGUUAUUUGCUUGGAUGUUUUUUUGUCGAUCAUCGGCAGCGCAAGAUAGAACCUUUUUCGUGUGAUGUUCCAUUUUGAUUCUUCGUGACCCAGGCUUCCAUUUUCAAGCAAAAAUGGUGUUAAUAACUGAGGAGCUGGUCCGGAAGCGGGCCGAACACAAUGAGAAAGAGAUCUUCAGCUUGGAGGAGCUGUCGCUACACCAGUGCGAUGUGGAACGGAUUCAGCACUUGGAUCGAUGGUGUCGCCGUCUGCGCAUUCUCUACCUGCAGUCGAACCUCAUCGAGAAAAUAGAAAAUGUGAGUCGUCUCAAGGAGCUGGAGUACCUGAACCUGGCGCUCAACAGCAUCGAGCGCGUGGAGAACCUGGAGGGCUGCGAGAGCCUGACCAAGCUGGACCUGACGCUGAACUUCAUCGGCGAGCUGACGUCCGUGGCCAGCCUCCAGCACAACGAGCACCUCCGGGAACUGUACCUGACGGGUAAUCCGUGUGCCGACUACGAGGGCUACCGGGACUGGGUGGCUGUCACCUUACCCCAGCUGCAGACCCUGGACGGUACCCGGAUAGAACACUCGGAGCGGAUCACGGCCCGGCAGCGCUUCUCCGCAGUGCAGGACGAGAUCAUACAGCAGCAGAAAUGCUACCUGGAGAAACGAAGAAAACAAAAGGAAUCUGAUCGAGAAGCUAAACCCGAAGUAAAUGUUGAUGAGAUGACUGAAGAGGAAAGGAAAAAAUUCUGGUCGGAGACCACCGCUUACACGCCCGAGUCUCGACGCGAGCUGCACCGUCAGGUGGCGGCCUCGCGGGCGGUACCUCCGCCUCCCGAGCGGCCGCCGUGGGAGGCGCCGCCGCGUCCCAUCCGGCUGGUGACCGACGACGGCCGGCCGCUGAACGUCAACCCGACCGGACUGAAAUUCGAACUGGAAGAUGACGAGGAGCAGCACCGGCUCGUGCUCAGACUCGAUCUGUAUAAACACCUGGACACCUCGCUACUGGAGGUGGACGUGCAGCCCACGCACGUGACGGUGCUGGUGCGCCAGCGGCCCUUCCAGCUGGUCCUGCCGGAGGAGGUUCUCACGGACUCCAGUACCGUGCAGCGGUCCCAGGUCACCGGUCAACUGGUGGUCACCAUGCCAAAGUUCGCCGAGCGACCAAAGCGGACACCGUCUCGGCGACCACCGGCUGCCCCGGUGUCCAAGCCGGCACCAUCGGCAGCACCACCAGCGCCAGCCGCACCAGCGGCGGAAGAUCACCAUCCGGAGGUGCCGCCGCUCAUCUGACCGUCUGGUUGUCCCAGCUGGAGAGGAGCAGCUCUUACGGAUGCUACUGAUCUCUCUGAAGGUCGAGUUGAUCGAUGGAGAGAUAACAGUUUGUCAGAUGGCAAAGGACCUGAAAUGAUGGAAUGAUGUCCAAUAGCCCGCAACACAUCGAAAUCCGCAACCAAUGUCCCUGAAGACCGGUAGCCACUGUUUUACACAUCGCCGUAACAUAUUGGGCUCAUGGAGGUUUGGGUCCCGGAUGCAUGCCAGCGGUGAAUUAUUUCGGCAAUGUUCAACUAGCCAAUACCUAGUUAAAGUUAACCAUACACUCGCUUUGCUAAAUAAAACUGCAUGCGGUGCUUCCCUAGCAUUCCAAGGCAGCCCAAGUCCAAUGUCCACCCUCCUCUGGGUCUAGCGUCACCUUCAAGCAAGUGCAACCAUGCAACAAGCGCAAAGAACUCGGGUUGUAUUUCCUGCAUCUCAUUUGAUAAUGUGCUUCUACAUAAGUGAACCAAACAGGGUUGGAGCUCUUCAUCGAGCGUGGUCUAAGGGGUUCUACUUUCUACUACCGCAAGCAGUCUAGACCCGUUUAGUCCCUCUGGGUGGUGCGGGGAGCUCUAGCUGCGGGUUGGGUAAGUACGGUCCCGGGUUUCUCGGUUAAUCGGGUCGCUGUUGACAUGCAUGCAACCAGUCGUGACCGGGCAUGGGGGAGGGGUAUUAUACUGAACCAGUCUGGUCGAGGAAAGAUGCAAGUAGUUAGGUCAGGCAGGUCGGGGCGGGCAGUCGGUUAGACCAAAGGCUUAAAAAGGUUGCCUGGUGUUCUAUCCAAGCGAUGGGAAGUGCAGCAGCCAAAGCUGACGGUAAUGUUUUCGGCGUGAGACCACGGAAGGAAGUGGUGAAUGGGUCUUCAGGGAGUCGCUACCAACACA